rnacentral:lncRNA from 1 species
ACUGGGACGAGAGAGCUAAGAUCCCUGAUCCAGUUGCGGUGAAGCCCGAUGACUGGGAUGAGGAUGCCCCAAUGGAAAUUGUGGAUGAGGAGGCCACCAAGCCAGAAGGAUGGUUGGAUGAUGACCCUGAGGAAAUUGAUGAUCCAGAGGCUGCUAAGCCUGAGGACUGGGAUGAUGAGGAGGAUGGUGAAUGGGAGGCACCGAAGAUGGACAACCCCAAGUGCGAAGUGGCACCUGGAUGUGGUGAAUGGAAGAAGCCGAUGAAGGAUAACCCUGCCUACAAGGGAAAGUGGCAUGCCCCCCUGAUUGACAACCCCAACUACAAGGGAAUCUGGAAGCCCCAAGAAAUCCCCAACCCG